GAUGAACGCUGGCGGCGUGCCUAAUACAUGCCAGUCGAGCGAACAGACGAGGAGCUUGCUCCUCUGACGUUAGCGGCGGACGGGUGAGUAACACGUGGAUAACCUACCUAUAAGACUGGGAUAACUUCGGGAAACCGGAGCUAAUACCGGAUAAUAUAUUGAACCGCAUGGUUCAAUAGUGAAAGACGGUUUUGCUGUCUCUUAUAGCUGGAUCCGCGCUGCAUUAGCUAGUUGGUAAGGUAACGGCUUACCAAGGCGACGAUGCGUAGCCGACCUGAGAGGGUGAUCGGCCACACGGGAACUGAGACACGGUCCAGACUCCUACGGGAGGCAGCAGUAGGGAAUCUUCCGCAAUGGGCGAAAGCCUGACGGAGCAACGCCGCGUGAGUGAUGAAGGUCUUCGGAUCGUAAAACUCUGUUAUUAGGGAAGAACAAAUGUGUAAGUAACUAUGCACGUCUUGACGGUACCUAAUCAGAAAGCCACGGCUAACUACGUG
rnacentral:rRNA from 1 species